rnacentral:rRNA from 1 species
GCUCAGAACGAACGCUGGCGGCAGGCUUAACACAUGCAAGUCGAACGCCCCGCAAGGGGAGUGGCAGACGGGUGAGUAACGCGUGGGAAUCUACCGUGCCCUGCGGAAUAGCUCCGGGAAACUGGAAUUAAUACCGCAUACGCCCUACGGGGGAAAGAUUUAUCGGGGUAUGAUGAGCCCGCGUUGGAUUAGCUAGUUGGUGGGGUAAAGGCCUACCAAGGCGACGAUCCAUAGCUGGUCUGAGAGGAUGAUCAGCCACAUUGGGACUGAGACACGGCCCAAACUCCUACGGGAGGCAGCAGUGGGGAAUAUUGGACAAUGGGCGCAAGCCUGAUCCAGCCAUGCCGCGUGAGUGAUGAAGGCCUUAGGGUUGUAAAGCUCUUUCACCGGAGAAGAUAAUGACGGUAU